UCGAACGCAGUGAGACAACGGAGCCGCUUGCGGCGACGGCCCGAAGGGCGAGGCGAAGCCGAGUCAUCCUGCACGACCCACCA
rnacentral:sRNA from 1 species